rnacentral:tRNA from 1 species
GAGGGUGUAGCUCAGUGGUAGAGCACAUGCUUAGCAUGCACAAGGUCCUGGGUUCAAGCCUCUGAACCUCCA